rnacentral:rRNA from 1 species
UACAGAGGUCCCAAGCGUUGUUCGGAUUCACUGGGCGUAAAGGGUGCGUAGGCGGUCGGGUAAGUCUGAUGUGAAAUCUCACAGCUUAACUGUGAAACUGCAUUGGAUACUAUCCGGCUAGAGGAAUGGAGGGGAGACUGGAAUACUUGGUGUAGCAGUGAAAUGCGUAGAUAUCAAGUGGAACACCAGUGGCGAAGGCGGCCUUCUGGACCAAUACUGACGCUCAUGCACGAAAGCGUGGGGAGCAAACAGG